rnacentral:lncRNA from 1 species
CUAAAAGGUCAUGAAAGAGCCGACUGAAUCAGAUGGCACGUUAAAAGACUCAUCAACGGUGGCAGGUUUAUAGAACAUGACAGAGGAAGCUGUGCUUAGCUGAGAAGAGGAAGCAGAGAAGGAAGCAGAGAAAAACAAAGUCUGUGAUAAAAACUGGAAAGGAGCCACAAAAGGCCACAAAAAACAAGGAAGUCCAUUUUGGAACCGGAUCCUGGAGUGACUGAAAAGGCAGAGUGUCAUUUGAGGAUGCGAGUAGUAUAAUCAUACUUUUUUGCAUGGAAGAAAGCAAGUGUCUUGAGGCAUCCAUCAUCCUGGAAGAAGACUAUGAUUUAUAACAGAAGGAAUGCAAAAAGAAAGAACAAGUUAAUAUUUCUCUUUUGGCAUGUCAAAUAGAAUUAUUCAGCAAGACAAUAACCUUGCAAGCCAGGCGUUGUCUUGAAAAACCAUUUCCAAAUUUCUUUAAUCCUUCCCUUUGGCUUUUCAACAAUGCAGCCUGAUUGAACCAGUUUAUGGAGUUCUCCCUAAGUGCAGAGAAAAUACCCAUAUCCUUUAUUAGGGUAUCUCUAAGAAACUGAAGUAUGGAGGGCAUGAUGCAGGGGAAAUCUGUCAUUUUGGGGCCCUUUGUGAUAGAGAGAAAGAGAGAGAAAGAGGAAGAAGAAGAUGAGAGAAUCAGUUUUGAUCAUGUAUUCUCCCAGCUUUGGCCCAGAAAAUAGGGAGGCCUAUUGGAUGAGUGGGGAUAUCACCAAGGGCAGAGGAAGCUUUUGUCCUUCUUCCUGCUUGAGACUCUGCAGAAUAGACUGUCAUCCUGGGGUGUGACCACAUCCACAUGGCAGUGUGGUAUGACCUGGCAGAGGGAGUCCUUGACACUUAGUUUUCCUGAGCCAUUCUUAUUUCCAGUGAGGCACAGAUGGACCCAGAAAAUGGUGGGAGUUUGGCUGGGGAGUAUUACCAAUGGGAGUCACCAUGGCUGGGCAAGGUCAAGGUACUCCGUAGCAAGGGCUGCCCAGUGGACCACCUGGGCCAGGCCAAUUGGAGUCACAGCAAAUGGGAAGGAGUCUAGACCCAAUAGAUGAGUCCAAAAAGCUGCAGAGAGCGAGAGCUAGCAAGGCAGUCCCCUGGGCUCUGAUCUGCUGAGGAAAACCUAGGCUGUAAGUUACUCUUGUACAGACACAGACUUCAGCUGUGAAUCCCAGUAGGGUAAGAUGCACGCAGGUGGAUCAGGGACUUCCACCUAACCCUGCCUAGAAGAGUAAGAGGAAUCUGACCUUUUGCCUGCCGCGAAGGUGUUCAAGCUCCACCUGUCCCUCUUCAUAUGCAGAUGUCAUCUUGGAGGGGAGCUAGAAGACUGAUGUGUUUGAGAAACUAAGCCUUUAUUUCCCCUCAGAGGGGACCAUUCUUUGAAGGGACCAUUUAAAUUAUCGUGUAAUACGAAGGUUCAAACUUUAUUAGAUAUUAAAACAAUCAGUUUGUCCUUUUGAAUGGCUUUUGGCUAUUUCCAAAAUUCAAAUCCGUUAGAAGACAAAGAUUAGACAUACUGAAAUGCUUCUAAAAAUAUUCUAACUGGUGAAUAUAUGAGAAAAGAAUUAACCUCAUUAAUUAUCCACUCGAAUGUAAACUAAAACACUAUUCUAUACUUCCUUCUUUGAAAUUCAUAAACGUUGGAAAAAAAUACAGAAAAUCUACUAGUUAGUAGGAAAAAAGUUGUAGACAGAACAAAGGGGCCACAUGCUCUUGGUCAAUCUGAGUUUUGAUGGAAGUUAAAUGUUGCUGCCCUGGCAUAACACUAACAUUUAUUAAGCACUUUGUCUGUGCCUGGUGCUGUUUUAAGAAAUUUAGGUGCAUUAUUUCACUAAACCUUGUCAAUAGCCUUAUGAAAUAUAUGCUAUCAUGGCCUCUUUUUAUCAAUGGGGAAACUGAGCCACAGAAAAAAUAAAUACCUUGUACAAUUAGAAAAUGGCAAUUUGCUGGGUGCGAGGGCUCACGCCUGUAAUCCUAGCACUUUGGGAGGCUGAGGGAGGAGUUCAAGACUAGCCUGGCCAACAUGGUGAAACCCCAUCUCUACUAAAAUACAAAAAUUAGCUGGGCGUUAUGGCGGGUGCCUGUAAUCCCAGCGACUCGGGAGGCUGAGACGGGAGAAUCACUUGAACCUGGGAGACGGUGGUCGCAGUGAGCCAAGAUUGCACCACUGCACUCCAGCCUGGGCAGCUGAGCAAGACUCCAUCUCAAAGAAAAAAAGAAAAAAAUGGCAAACUUAGGAUUUGAGUCCAGGAAGUCUGAUGUGAGGGCCACUGGCCUUAACCUCUGCCCUCUGCUUGCCCACAGGUUGGGACACACUGAAACCCUUCUUCCUAUGUGACAAACAUCAGGUCCUUACCACUGACUAGGGGGUGGGUGGGGAAUUCUAAACUAUUUCUUCUUGUCUCUAUUUCAGUUUUAAGCCUCUGUAACCUUAAUGCUUGUCGACAGAUCUGUUUGUUUUGAGGAUUGAUAUGAUAUUUCCGAAAACAACUAGCAAAGAUAUAGCUGCUUAAUCAUCAUUGCUUCUAGAACCCAAAUCUUGCUUAAUUAGACAAAUUAACACACUCUAUUCUUUGAAAAUAUCUAGGGAAGAACUUGCCACUUGCUUCCUGCCUUUGCAAGUGGAAUUUGCUGUCGAGGCUUCUCUGAAUAGCAUCACUGUCAGGCCCUGGAUCAUUUAUAUCACCUUAUCAGGGGCUGAGAGACUUUAGGGAAUCUUCCAGCCAAGCCCAAGAGAUUGGCUCUUGGGCUCCAGUGAUUGAUCCACCACAAGAAGAGCAUGCUCUUGGGUAGCUGCUGCCCCUUCAGCCUGGGCCCUGGAAUAAAAAUAUGUGGAGCAGACUUGACCACAGUUUGCCGCUACACUUAGCUGUCCAGCAGGCUGAAGUGGAGCUUCCCAGCCAAGCCUAGCCUGAAUUGACUGAACCAUCAUUGAUUUGCAGAUCUGUAAUUGUGAGAAUAAAUUCUUGUUGUCAAAAGCUAUUGAGUUUUGGGGUGUUUGUUAUGCAGCAUUAUGGAAACAAAAGCUGCCAA